AACGAACGCUGGCGGCAGGCCUAACACAUGCAAGUCGAACGCUGUAGCAAUACAGAGUGGCAGACGGGUGAGUAACGCGUGGGAACCUUCCCAAUGGUACGGAAUAGCUCAGGGAAACUUGAGGUAAUACCGUAUAAGCCCCUAGGGGGAAAGAUUUAUCGCCAUUGGAUGGGCCCGCGUCGGAUUAGCUAGUUGGUGAGGUAACGGCUCACCAAGGCGACGAUCCGUAGCUGGUUUGAGAGAAUGACCAGCCACACUGGGACGGAGACACGGCCCAGACUCCUACGGGAGGCAGCAGUGAGGAAUCUUGGACAAUGGGCGAAAGCCUGAUCCAGCCAUGCCGGGUGAGUGACGAAGGCCUUAGGGUUGUAAAGCUCUUUUGCCGGGGACGAUAAUGACGGUACCCGGAGAAUAAGUCCCGGCUAACUUCGUGCCAGCCGCCGCGGUAA
rnacentral:rRNA from 1 species